rnacentral:rRNA from 1 species
UCUGACAGGUUAAAACGGCUUUCUCAACUCUCACAUGGAAGCUCACUGAAGCUAAGCAGGGCUGCGCCCGGUCAGUACCUGAAUGGGAGACCACAUGGGAAAGCUAGGUUGCUGCAGGA